rnacentral:rRNA from 1 species
CAUCUAAGUACCCCGAGGAAAAGAAAUCAACCGAGAUUCCCCCAGUAGCGGCGAGCGAACGGGGAGCAGCCCAGAGCCUGAAUCAGUGUGUGUGUUAGUGGAAGCGUCUGGAAAGGCGUGCGAUACAGGGUGACAGCCCCGUACACAAAAAUGCACAUACUGUGAGCUCGAUGAGUAGGGCGGGACACGUGGUAUCCUGUCUGAAUAUGGGGGGACCAUCCUCCAAGGCUAAAUACUCCUGACUGACCGAUAGUGAACCAGUACCGUGAGGGAAAGGCGAAAAGAACCCCGGCGAGGGGAGUGAAAAAGAACCUGAAACCGUGUACGUACAAGCAGUGGGAGCACGCUUAGGCGUGUGACUGCGUACCUUUUGUAUAAUGGGUCAGCGACUUAUAUUCUGUAGCAAGGUUAACCGAAUAGGGGAGCCGAAGGGAAACCGAGUCUUAACUGGGCGUUAAGUUGCAGGGUAUAGACCCGAAACCCGGUGAUCUAGCCAUGGGCAGGUUGAAGGUUGGGUAACACUAACUGGAGGACCGAACCGACUAAUGUUGAAAAAUUAGCGGAUGACUUGUGGCUGGGGGUGAAAGGCCAAUCAAACCGGGAGAUAGCUGGUUCUCCCCGAAAGCUAUUUAGGUAGCGCCUCGUGAAUUCAUCUCCGGGGGUAGAGCACUGUUUCGGCAAGGGGGUCAUCCCGACUUACCAACCCGAUGCAAACUGCGAAUACCGGAGAAUGUUAUCACGGGAGACACACGGCGGGUGCUAACGUCCGUCGUGAAGAGGGAAACAACCCAGACCGCCAGCUAAGGUCCCAAAGUCAUGGUUAAGUGGGAAACGAUGUGGGAAGGCCCAGACAGCCAGGAUGUUGGCUUAGAAGCAGCCAUCAUUUAAAGAAAGCGUAAUAGCUCACUGGUCGAGUCGGCCUGCGCGGAAGAUGUAACGGGGCUAAACCAUGCACCGAAGCUGCGGCAGCGACGCUUAUGCGUUGUUGGGUAGGGGAGCGUUCUGUAAGCCUGUGAAGGUGUGCUGUGAGGUAUGCUGGAGGUAUCAGAAGUGCGAAUGCUGACAUAAGUAACGAUAAAGCGGGUGAAAAGCCCGCUCGCCGGAAGACCAAGGGUUCCUGUCCAACGUUAAUCGGGGCAGGGUGAGUCGACCCCUAAGGCGAGGCCGAAAGGCGUAGUCGAUGGGAAACAGGUUAAUAUUCCUGUACUUGGUGUUACUGCGAAGGGGGGACGGAGAAGGCUAUGUUGGCCGGGCGACGGUUGUCCCGGUUUAAGCGUGUAGGCUGGUUUUCCAGGCAAAUCCGGAAAAUCAAGGCCGAGGCGUGAUGACGAGGCACUACGGUGCUGAAGCAACAAAUGCCCUGCUUCCAGGAAAAGCCUCUAAGCAUCAGGUAACAUCAAAUCGUACCCCAAACCGACACAGGUGGUCAGGUAGAGAAUACCAAGGCGCUUGAGAGAACUCGGGUGAAGGAACUAGGCAAAAUGGUGCCGUAACUUCGGGAGAAGGCACGCUGAUACGUAGGUGAAGCGACUUGCUCGUGGAGCUGAAAUCAGUCGAAGAUACCAGCUGGCUGCAACUGUUUAUUAAAAACACAGCACUGUGCAAACACGAAAGUGGACGUAUACGGUGUGACGCCUGCCCGGUGCCGGAAGGUUAAUUGAUGGGGUUAGCGCAAGCGAAGCUCUUGAUCGAAGCCCCGGUAAACGGCGGCCGUAACUAUAACGGUCCUAAGGUAGCGAAAUUCCUUGUCGGGUAAGUUCCGACCUGCACGAAUGGCGUAAUGAUGGCCAGGCUGUCUCCACCCGAGACUCAGUGAAAUUGAACUCGCUGUGAAGAUGCAGUGUACCCGCGGCAAGACGGAAAGACCCCGUGAACCUUUACUAUAGCUUGACACUGAACAUUGAGCCUUGAUGUGUAGGAUAGGUGGGAGGCUUUGAAGUGUGGACGCCAGUCUGCAUGGAGCCGACCUUGAAAUACCACCCUUUAAUGUUUGAUGUUCUAACGUGGACCCGUGAUCCGGGUUGCGGACAGUGUCUGGUGGGUAGUUUGACUGGGGCGGUCUCCUCCUAAAGAGUAACGGAGGAGCACGAAGGUUGGCUAAUCCUGGUCGGACAUCAGGAGGUUAGUGCAAUGGCAUAAGCCAGCUUGACUGCGAGCGUGACGGCGCGAGCAGGUGCGAAAGCAGGUCAUAGUGAUCCGGUGGUUCUGAAUGGAAGGGCCAUCGCUCAACGGAUAAAAGGUACUCCGGGGAUAACAGGCUGAUACCGCCCAAGAGUUCAUAUCGACGGCGGUGUUUGGCACCUCGAUGUCGGCUCAUCACAUCCUGGGGCUGAAGUAGGUCCCAAGGGUAUGGCUGUUCGCCAUUUAAAGUGGUACGCGAGCUGGGUUUAGAACGUCGUGAGACAGUUCGGUCCCUAUCUGCCGUGGGCGCUGGAGAACUGAGGGGGGCUGCUCCUAGUACGAGAGGACCGGAGUGGACGCAUCACUGGUGUUCGGGUUGUCAUGCCAAUGGCACUGCCCGGUAGCUAAAUGCGGAAGAGAUAAGUGCUGAAAGCAUCUAAGCACGAAACUUGCCCCGAGAUGAGUUCUCCCUGACCCUUUAAGGGUCCUGAAGGAACGUUGAAGACGACGACGUUGAUAGGCCGGGUGUGUAAGCGCAGCGAUGCGUUGAGCUAACCGGUACUAAUGAACCGUGAGGCUUAACCUUACAACGCCGAAG